rnacentral:rRNA from 1 species
AUGGCAGACGAACCGUCCGCCAAGCGUCAUCAUGUCGACACGUCGGACAAGAGGAGCAACCUCAUCGACAUUAACGUCCCCAGAGAGAAGCGCGAGUACACUACAACCCUCAAAGGGGUUGAGCUCCACGGCAACGAGACGCAGGAGAUCGUCUGCACCAGCGAACCAGACAAGGCCGACGAGGUGAUCUCCAGGCUCUGGAUGAAGUUUGGCGGCAGGUUUCGUAGGAUCGUCGGCGUUGGUGUGCACUACACCAACGAAGAUGAACCUCCCCAGAUGGCAGCAGUCCUGCAGUUGUACGUCAAUGAACUCUGCUUGGUGUACCACAUCGCAGCGGCCACAAAAUGGCCCAAGCGCCUCACCGAGAUGCUGCAGCAUGAGAAGUUGUUCACAUUUGCCGGUUUCAGCAUUGAAAGCAACAAAGAGAAGCUGAAGUUGGCCGGUAUGGAGAUCAACCCAAACAAGUUCAUCGACAUUCAGCGCAAGUGGAGAGUUCCAUACACCGGAAAAGAGUACGACUCCUUGACUGAUGUUGCAGCCAGCGUCAUCCACCCAUUCUACAAAAGCAUGAAGAACAAGAUCAACACGCAGGAAGACUACAAACUGUGGGGGACCAGCGAGCUGCCAGACAACCUCAUCGAGUACGCAAGGGUAGAUGCGUAUGCCGCGUACAAAUCAUGGUUCAUGAUCGACUACAUCAUAGACGGUUGGGAAUAUGCGAAAGAGCGGGAGGCUGAAAACUUAUACGACCGCCCCUAUUGCCCCUUUAGUGGAUGA